CCUACGGGAGGCAGCAGUGGGGAAUCUUGCGCAAUGGGCGAAAGCCUGACGCAGCAACGCCGCGUGCGGGAUGAAGGCCUUAGGGUUGUAAACCGCUUUCAGCAGGGAAGAAAAUGACUGUACCUGCAGAAGAAGGUGCGGCCAACUACGUGCCAGCAGCCGCGGUGACACGUAGGCACCAAGCGUUGUCCGGAUUUAUUGGGCGUAAAGAGCUCGUAGGCGGUUCAGUUAGUUGGGUGUGAAAACUCCGGGCUUAACCCGGAGCCGCCACCCAAUACUGCUGUGACUAGAGUUCGGUAGGGGAGCGGGGAAUUCCUAGUGUAGCGGUGAAAUGCGCAGAUAUUAGGAGGAACACCGGUGGCGAAGGCGCCGCUCUGGGCCGAAACUGACGCUGAGGAGCGAAAGCAUGGGUAGCAAACAGGAUUAGAUACCCUGGUAGUCCAUGCCGUAAACGUUGGGCACUAGGUGUGGGCUUCAUCCAACGAAGUCCGCGCCGUCGCUAACGCAUUAAGUGCCCCGCCUGGGGGAGGUACGGUCGCAGACUAAACUACAAGAAUAGACGG
rnacentral:rRNA from 1 species